GAGGUUUUAGCUCAGCGGCAGAGCACCGGCAUGGCCGGCGGUCGUGGGUUCGACUCCCGCAAACUUCGCCA
rnacentral:tRNA from 1 species